CAUCUACGGAAGGCAGCAGGCGCGUAAAUUACCCAAUCCUGAUUCAGGGAGGUAGUGACAAGAAAUAACAACUCGGGGCCUCACGGCUUACGAGAUUGCAAUGAGAACAAUUUAAAUCUCUUAGCGAGGAACAAUUGGAGGGCAAGUCUGGUGCCAGCAGCCGCGGUAAUUCCAGCUCCAAUAGCGUAUAUUAAAGUUGUUGCAGUUAAAAAGCUCGUAGUUGAAUUUCUGAUUAUGGAUGUAGCGGUUUCCGUUACAUUUGUAGUCAUCCACAUGAGAACCUUUCUCGGCCUUCACUGGUCGGUUGGGGGAUCAUGUACUUUACUUUGAAAAAUCAGAGUGUUUCAGGCAGGCGUUUGCAUGAAUACACAAGCAUGGAAUAAUGGAAUAGGACUAGGGUCCAUUUUAUUGGUUAUUGGACCAUAGUAAUGA
rnacentral:rRNA from 1 species